rnacentral:rRNA from 1 species
AUUGAACGCUGGCGGCGGGCCUAACACAUGCAAGUCGAACGAGUGGCGGACGGGUGAGUAAUGUCUGGGCAACUGCCUGAUGGAGGGGGAUAACUACUGGAAACGGUAGCUAAUACCGCCUACGAUCGGAUGUGCCCAGAUGGGAUUAGCUGGUAGGGGGGGUAAAGGCUCACCUCGGCGACGAUCCCUAGCUGGUCUGAGAGGAUGACCAGCCACACUGGAGCGGAGACACGGUCCAGACUCCUACGGGAGGCAGCAGUGGGGAAUAUUGCGCAAUGGGCGCAAGCCUGAGGCAGCCAUGCGGCGUGUAUGAAGAGGGCCUUCGGGUUGUAAAGUACUUUCGGCGGGGAAGCGUUACCCGCAGAAGAAGCACCGGCUAACUCCGUGCCAGCAGCCGCGGUAAUUC